UACGGUCAUCAAAGUGUGAUUCCUGGAGGUGUAACUUGUGCUAGCAGGAUAUAUCCUGUGCAACCCUGUGUGAACAUUUUUUGAAAAUUCAAUUACACCUACCUAAUAAUUUUCUUUGGAUUACAUAAUAAGUGACUGUUUAUGCAGGAUUCAAAUGUAAACAUUUUUGUUCCACACAGUUUGAUCUCUUAUUAUUAGUUUCAAUUUUUUUUCUAACUUUUACAGUUAUUUUUUUAUGAUUUUUUGAAAUUGGUCAAUUUCCAUGCGCACAGGGUAAUGUGACCUAGUAGAAGCCUUAAGCAGCGAUUGAGUUAAUGACCGCAAUGAGGUAAACCAAACUACUGAAAUGACAAUGACCAUUAACCAAAACAGUCACCCACCUUAGACAGCAGAUUCUGUGACAGAGACCUGUGACAAUCUUUCAGCUGUCGUCAUGUCUCUAAUGAGGAAAGUAAAUGAAUACAGCAAUAAGAUUAUGGAAAAUAAAAACCUAAAAGAAAGGAUAAUGCCAGUGUUGAUAGCUAUGCCACAAACCCUGUCAGGACUGAUGGACUUACUACUGCAUGGUUAGCACGCAGGUGAAGUUUAUGCAGUGGAACAGUCAGGCACUAACUAGUAAUAAACAUGAACUAUUAAACUUCAUUAAAAGUAAUCUUCCUGCAGGAAGUAAACUUCACCCGAGGGCCAGUACCACUUCCAGGCUAUAAAUUCCCACCUAUGUACAAGUCAAACCGCUCAAAGGAGGAGGAGGAGUAGAUAUCUAUGUCAAAAGUUGAAUUGACAGUCACUGAAGUAUUCCACCAGAAAUAGAGAUAAUCAUAGCUGAAAUCACUUUGACAUCAGGUAAAAAAACUUAAGAUAGCCAACAUAUACAUCCCUAGCACGAAUAAAUACAACAAUAACAACAGAUGAUCUAACCAAUGUCUUCCUAUCAGCUAAUAUAAUCCUAGGGGACUUUAACGCUAAAAACCCACUCUGGGAUAGGGACAAAUUAAAAGCAGACAAAGGAGGCAAAAUGUUAGAAUAAGCAAUGAAUAUUUCUAAUAUGUGUUUAUUAAAUAAUGGUCAACCCACUCAUGUUUACUGUCAGGGUGACACAGACUCAACUUCAGCCAUAGACCUAUCGGUAUGCACUCCAGAACUGGCGAAUAUCCUGAAAUGGGAAGUUUAUGAGGAAGAUACCCUAGUGAGUGACCACUUCCCAAUCAUGAUCUCCAUGCAAAUAACCAAACUACAUCGCCCAAACCUUUAAACUUUCAGAAUUAAUGCAAAAAAAAACUAACUGGAGUCUGUUCCAGUCAAUAACAUUACUGAAUGAUAUAUGGCUUCCUGGCGAUGACCAAGGCACUAAGACAGACAAACUGACAAACAGCAUCAUUAUAGCUGCCAAAUAGGCAACACCAAGAGGCAUCGGCAGGGAAUAUAAAUAUGCUGGUCUAGCCUGGUGGAAUAAAGACUGUUAAAAAGGCGAUUAGAAACAGAAAACAAAUUAAAGAUAUGGAAAAAAAUAAAACAAUAGAGAACAGAGUAGAAUACAGGAAAUCAAAGUCAAUAGCAAAAAAACAAAAAACAACUAUCCUACAAGCCAAACAAGAGGACUGGCACAGGUUUACAGAAUCUUUGAAUCUAAACGCCAACCUGACAGCUGGAAAAAGGUUAAACGACUUAAUCAGGGCCCCAGAUCUACCAUGCCAACCCUGUUGAAAGAUGGUUUGAAAUAUGAAACAAACCAAGAAAAAGCUAACCUCUUAGUGGAACAAUUCCAAGAAGCUAUAGUUCUGACUAUAAUCUAGACCCAGACGCUGAUUUUUUUUUCCUAAACGUCCCAGUGAAAAAUAGCAUGGAACUUUAUGGCAAAUUUUUUUAAAAAUCCCGACGCGCGAUCUGGAGAUCACAGUCACAACCACUGGAAUUAUUCCUGUGGUGUUCAUAUUUACUACUGUAAAAGUGAUGCAAACAGAAUGUGUUAUAUUAAGUUUGUAUUUAUAUGUAUUUAUAAUGCUUGAUUAGCCAAAUGCUAUAAAAUUACAGACAAAAUUCUUAUCUCAUUAUUUUAAAUUUUCCAGGAAAUUUUACCACUUGGGUACAGGUAUCAAGUGACAUAAUUUCAACCAAAAUCGGAGGAAAAAGAAGUCCUGCUGGCAAUAUUUAAUACAGAUGGUGAAGCAAGGCUACCUUGUGUGCCAGCAAAGGAGGGGGGCAAAAAUAUUUAUAAACAAUGCCAGCACAAUACCAACCCGGUUUCUGCUACAGCCAACAGCCAUCUUGGUUCCAAGAAUUCAGAAUGUCCAGCUCUGCUAACAACUGCUGUAUGGAGACAGCUUGGGAAACUCAGCAGAGCAAAGAACAUAAACCCACUUUUGAAAGAUUUCCCUACAUGCCUUGAAUUGAACACACUCACAAUCAUAGUCUGUAUAGUGCUGAUUCUCUACAUCAUAGGGAUGUAAAUGAUGAGACAAUCGCCAAAUUCAAGGGGCUUUUUUCAAAGGGCCACUCUCCAUCUUCAGCACUUGAAAUUCAUAAGAUGGAUCUCCAUAUGGAACAUGGAGUAAAUUACAUUUAUCAGGCUGCUGACAGAGCUUUUUGUCCUGAUCUGCAGUUUUGCCACAGGCUGUACAGGAAAAUAUUUGAAGAGAAAUACUCUCCAACCUCUUCAAAACAGUUGAUUGACAGCCUAGAGACAGCUUGUAGGACAUUCAAUGCAGAACAAAAUGGGGAGUUCUGCAAGGUAAAACAAACAGCAUCAGGGAAGAUAGCCAUAGCUGUCUGCACUCCCCUCAUGAUGAGAAUGCACACACUGCACCGUGCAAGUGGUGAACUCGUUUUUAUUGAUGCCUCAGGGGGGUGGACAGGUAUGACUUCAGAGUUUUCCUUCUUUUCACUCACAGUGUUGCAGGUAGACUCCCUUUAGGCUACCUUAUUGUUUCUUCUGAAGCAACAGAAGUAAUAACAAAUGCUUUGUUACUGUAUAAAGAACUUUUGCCAUCUGAUGCUUUUUUUGGAAGAGGUAAUAGACGACCUCAGGUGUACCUCACAGAUGACAGUAGUGCUGAAAGGCAGAGCCUGCAAGCUACAUUCCCUGAAGCAACCUUUCUUCUUCUUCUACAAAUAGACUCAGUUUUGUGUAUAGAUAAUUACUCUGUAGAUAUAUGUAUUACUAACACUUUUUGAUGCUUUAGUACAACUGUAUGUAACCUUUCAUGCAAAUAUGGGGUUGAGAAAAGCAAUGAGCUGAUAUAUAAUUACCAUUAUUUCAAUGCUAUGUUCAUUCACUAAAAGUUACUACAAAUGGAUAACAACAUGAGAAACUGCAGUAACAAUUAUUUAAUGCUGUUGAAUCUUCAACAAAAUUGAGUAAAGAACAUUUGAGAACAUUACAUUAUGUGAAAUGUAUAUUUAUGCAAAAGAAAUGCCAUCUAAAUAAUGUUGGGUAUGAAUACCACUUUAUACUUUUAUGGGAGUUUUUGAAAAGAGCAUGAUGUAAAUUAUUUUGCAAAUUCUGCUGAGAUAAUCCAAUCUCAUACAAGUUUAAAUAUCUGGUAGCACUAAGAAAGAUGUUUUAACAAAAUUUAUAAGAAUAAUCCAAUUCCCAAUAUCAUAGCAAAUUCAGUGAAAAACAAUUAAGAUCAAAGUUGUUAUUGUGUACAUAGUGAACAUUUAAUUACUUUGUCUUCAUUUACUUUCUGUGUAUUAUAGUUCUUCAAAUAUACUGUGCAUAUAUCACAUAUUUCAUUAUUGUGUAUCAUACAGUUUGUUCUCUUAGGGUCCUGAUUAAAUUAUUGGGACUUUGAGUAUACAUGUUUCAGUAUGGUUUUACAAAUGUCUGACAGAAUGAAAGCCAGGGUGGACCAAAAACUUUUUUGUUAUUGCUGACAAAUGAUAAAUCUUUAUUUACUAGGGUAACAGAAUAAGCAAAAGUUGAGUGUUGUUUUUUUUUUUUUUUUUUUUGUUUUUUUUUUACAUCUAGCCCUCUAUGAAUAUAUGAGAAACGUAUAUUAUGCAUUUUAUAUGAGAACGCUUUUUUUCAUUUUUUUAGAAAGGAAGCGACUGAAGUCCUUGCUUAGCGUAGCUUUUGCCUUUGCCUUUCAGUUAGUGCAUAGCUUUACUAAAAAUGUCACCACUUACACUAUACAUCAGCCCUUUACUUUUCGUAUGUUUUAAACGUGAACUUUACAUAUACCCAUCGAUCGCUGAAUACUAGCUCGAUCGUUUGAAAUAACACAUCACUUCGCAAAAGCGUAUCCAACAACUUAAUCUCGCAGUAGCUAG